rnacentral:snoRNA from 1 species
UAACACAUUCUACAGUAGGAUCAUUUCUAUAGGAAUCGUCACUCUUUGACUCUUCAAAAGAGCCACUGAAUCCAACUUGGUUGAUGAGCCGUAGAACCGUUAUGCCCUAGAGUGAGGAACAAUCAUUUUUUAUUAUUAGCUUGGUCCGCAAUCCUUAGCGGUUCGGCCAUCUAAAAUAAAUUUUCCAGAUUGGAUAGGUUUACUUAUCUUAUUUUGGGAGAUUUUGGUUAUUUGCCAUUUAUUAUAAUUUCAUUUGGUUACAUUUGAAGUUUACUUUGGCGCGAUGAUCUUGACCCUGUCAAUGUAUUUCUUUUUUGGAAAGGAUUGAUAUUUAAAGGGUGGGCGUGACUGGCAGUCUGACUAAGU